rnacentral:rRNA from 1 species
CACGUAGGGUGCGAGCGUUGUCCGGAAUUACUGGGCGUAAAGCGCGACGUAGGCGGCUUGUAAGUUAGAGGUGAAAGCCCGGAGCUCAACUCCGGAAUUGCCUUUAAGACGUGCAUCGCUCGAAUCAUGGAGAGGUGAGUGGAAUUCCGAGUGUAGAGGUGAAAUUCGUAGAUAUUCGGAAGAGCACCAGUGGCGAAGGCGACUCACUGGACGAUGAUAUUGACGCUGGAGGUGACGGAAAGCGUGGGGAGCAAACAGG